UACGUAGGGCGCAAGCGUUAUCCGGAAUUAUUGGGCGUAAAGCGUGCGUAGGCGGCUACGCAAGUCGGUUGUGAAACCCCGGGGCUCAACCCCGGAACUGCAUCCGAUACUGCGUGGCUAGAGGUAGGUAGGGGAGAUCGGAAUUCCUGGUGUAGCGGUGAAAUGCGCAGAUAUCAGGAGGAACACCGGUGGCGAAGGCGGAUCUCUGGGCCUUACCUGACGCUCAGGCACGAAAGCUAGGGGAGCGAACAGG
rnacentral:rRNA from 1 species